UGGCUACAAAUCGUUCCUCGGUAUAAAGUCGUUAUCCAUUUGGGUUAUUAAACUUCUGGCCGGCAAGAUAAAGAAAUUCGAAAUAAUUAUUAUGAUUAAUAAAAUGGGUUGAUUGGGUCUAAACAAUUAGUUAUAGUUGAAUAGAGAUGCCCUAUGUGUGGUCCUUAAAAGUUAUGAUAGAGCAUGAAUGAGCACGGUUUAGGCUUAUGAAAAGUGGUUUUAGG
rnacentral:lncRNA from 1 species